UUGCAGAGUCUGGCAGGCAGAUCCUGUAAUUCAAGUCACCGAGCCAGACCACUCGACUGCAAGGAAACAGGUCACCUCAUUCCUCCUUAAAGCUCCGGGAAGGUCCCUUGAAAUUACAAUCAAGCACAGAACGUGAUCGCCUUUUCAAGUAGCCAAAGCAAUGGAAUUACUCUGUUGACACAUGUCCCACAGAACGUGACCCAAUUCGGCACUUAAUUCGACUCUGCUACUCGGCUCUGCCCCAUGUGCAAGCAUGAGCGAUGCUAUCACAGGCUCUGUAACUUGAAGGGUUUAUUUUAAGAAAGCAGCAGUCUUGGUUGGAAUUGCAGCUAGAAAGGCUAGCCAAAAGCUAUGAUUGCGCUGAAAAUGGGAUGAAUGAAAGCUACAAUCACAGAUUGAUUAUUUGCAUUUAAGUCGGCAGGGUUUACAACUCCCAUCCCAUGUUUAAUA